AAUAAAUAAAUAAAUAAAAUGAAAAAAAGUUUUUGCACAUAGGAAAAUUUUAAAGGGGAAGAGGGUAUUAUGGAUAGAAACUAAGGUAUCUAAAUUACCUAGACUAAAACAAGACUCUAAAAUCUGAUAGAAGCUAAGCAAAACCUGAAUGCUAAAUCCUAAAGAACCACCCAAAAUCGCCUCUUGUCUCUUGAUACUCAAGUAAAAUCGUAAGCCUUUUACAUGAGAAGUUGACCUUCAAUUCAUAUUGCAUUAACCCUAGGAUACCAUAAUAAAAGCUAUAAAGGCAAGAAUGGCAUAGGUGAUCAAUGCCAUCAACUCAUAAUCUAAAAUAAAAUUGAUUCCUUUAACACAGGCUCCCUCCUCUAAAGUUUCACCGAAAUACCUGGACUAUUAAGGGUAUCCUUAAAUGCUGCAAGCAGGAAUUAUAUAUAACUCAAUUUCAACCCCUCUAUUGUUCCUGCAUUGCUUGCAGCCCUAAUGAAGCACACAAGUAAUUGUGCAUUUCCACUGAAUUCAGUAAUAAUCAAACCAUCUCAAUGGCAUUUUCACUCUCCUAAAAGUGAUAGAAAGCCUUAAAAUGCUAAAAAUUGUCUAUAAAUGUAUUAACUAGUACAUUAAUUAUUUCAAAAGAAUACACUUCUUAUUCAAUAACAAUCAAAUCAUCACCAUGACAUUCUUACCUCACAGUAGUGAUAGAUAAAAGGGCCAAAAUUACUACUGUGGAUGCAUUACUCUGCAACUCGGGUACAUAAUACAUUAAGGAGUUCAAAAAUUCCACUUCCUACUAAGAACUACAUAUCUUGGAGGUGAAAAAAAAAAAAA
rnacentral:misc_RNA from 1 species